CUCAAAUUUAAAAUCUGGUAGUCUCUGGCUGCCCGAGUUGUAAUCUAGAGAAGCAUUAUCCGCGCCGGACCAUGUACAAGUUUUCCUGGAAUGGAGCGUCAUAGAGGGUGAGAAUCCCGUCUUUGACAUGGGCUACCGGGGCUUUGUGAUGUGCUCUCCAAGAGUCGAGUUGUUUGGGAAUGCAGCUCUAAAUGGGUGGUAAAUUCCAUCUAAAGCUAAAUAUUGGCGAGAGACCGAUAGCGAACAAGUACCGUGAGGGAAAGAUGAAAAGAACUUUGGAAAGAGAGUUAAACAGUACGUGAAAUUGUUGAAAGGGAAACGCUUGAAGUCAGUCGCGUCUGCCAGGAAUCAACCUUGCAUUUUUGCUGGGUGUACUUUCUGGUUGGACGGGUCAGCAUCAAUUUUGAUCAGUGGAAAAAGUUCAGAGGAAUGUGGCACCUUCGGGUGUGUUAUAGCCUUUGUUCGUAUACAUUGAUUGGGAUUGAGGAACUCAGCAUGCCGYAAGGCCGGGUCUUUUGACUACGUUCAUGCUUAGGAUGCUGGCAUAAUGGCUUUAAUCGACCCGUCUUGAAACACGGACCAAGGAGUCUAACAUGCCCGCGAGUGUUUGGGUGGAAAACCCAGACGCGUAAUGAAAGUGAAGGUUGAGAUCCCUGUCGUGGGGAGCAUCGACGCCCGGACCAGAACUUCUGUGACGGAUCCGCGGUAGAGCGUGUAUGUUGGGACCCGAAAGAUGGUGAACUAUGCCUGAAUAGGGUGAAGC
rnacentral:rRNA from 1 species